rnacentral:rRNA from 1 species
UACGUAGGGUGCGAGCGUUGUCCGGAAUUAUUGGGCGUAAAGGGCUCGUAGGCUGUUUGUCGGGUCGGGCGUGAAAACUCAGGGCUUAACCCUGAGCCUGCUUCCGAUACGGGCAGACUAGAGGUAUGCAGGGGAGAAUGGAAUUCCUGGUGUAGCGGUGAAAUGCGCAGAUAUCAGGAGGAACACCGGUGGCGAAGGCGGGUCUCUGGGCCGAAACUGACGCUGAGGAGCGAAAGCGUGGGGAGCAAACAGG